GCCGAAGUGGUGGAAUUUGGUAGACACGCUAUCUUGAGGGGGUAGUGGCAGCAGCCGUGCCGGUUCAAGUCCGGCCUUCGGCACCA
rnacentral:tRNA from 1 species